CCACCUCCCAUCCGUGUCUAUCUGUACCCUGUUGCUUCGGCGUGGCUACGGCCCGCCGAAGACUAACAUUUGAACACUGUCUGAAGUUUGCAGUCUGAGUUUUUAGUUAAACAAUAAUUAAAACUUUCAACAACGGAUCUCUUGGUUCCGGCAUCGAUGAAGAACGCAGCGAAAUGCGAUAAUUAAUGUGAAUUGCAGAAUUCAGUGAAUCAUCGAGUCUUUGAACGCACAUUGCGCCCCCUGGUAUUCCGGGGGGCAUGCCUGUCCGAGCGUCAUUGCUGCCCUCAAGCACGGCUUGUGUGUUGGGCUUCCGUCCCUGGUAACGGGGACGGGCCCAAAAGGCAGUGGCGGCACCAUGUCUGGUCCUCGAGCGUAUGGGGCUUUGUCACCCGCUCCCGUAGGUCCAGCUGGCAGCUAGCCUCGCAACCAAUCUUUUUAACCAGGUUGACCUCGGAUCAGGUAGGGAUACCCGCUGAACUUAAGCAUAUCA
rnacentral:rRNA from 1 species